UCCAGACUCCUACGGGAGGCAGCAGUGAGGAAUAUUGGUCAAUGGCCGAGAGGCUGAACCAGCCAAGUCGCGUGAGGGAAGACGGCCCUACGGGUUGUAAACCUCUUUUGUCGGGGAGCAAAGCGAACCACGUGUGGUUCAUUGAGAGUACCCGAAGAAAAAGCAUCGGCUAACUCCGUGCCAGCAGCCGCGGUAAUACGGAGGAUGCGAGCGUUAUCCGGAUUUAUUGGGUUUAAAGGGUGCGUAGGCGGGCUGUUAAGUCAGCGGUCAAAUGUCGGGGCUCAACCCCGGCCUGCCGUUGAAACUGGCAGUCUCGAGUUGGAGAGAAGUAUGCGGAAUGCGCGGUGUAGCGGUGAAAUGCAUAGAUAUCGCGCAGAACUCCGAUUGCGAAGGCAGCAUGCCGGCUCCACACUGACGCUGAGGCACGAAAGCGUGGGUAUCGAACAGGAUUAGAUACCCUUGUAU
rnacentral:rRNA from 1 species